rnacentral:rRNA from 1 species
UACGUAGGUGGCAAGCGUUGUCCGGAAUUACUGGGUGUAAAGGGCGCGUAGGCGGCCACGCACGUCCGUUGUGAAAUCGCCCGGCUCAACUGGGCGGGGUCAGCGGAUACGGUGUGGCUCGAGCAAGCUAGGGGGCAAUGGAAUUCCCGGUGUAGUGGUGGAAUGCGUAGAUAUCGGGAGGAACACCAGUGGCGAAGGCGGUUGCCUGGAGCUUUGCUGACGCUGAGGCGCGAAAGCGUGGGGAGCGAUCCGG